rnacentral:misc_RNA from 1 species
AGCAGCCGCGGUAAUUCCAGCUCCAAUAGCGUAUAUUAAAGUUGCUGCAGUUAAAAAGCUCGUAGUUGAAUUUCGGGACCAUCAUGUUGGUCGUGCCUCGGUACGUACUGGCAUUGUUGGUUUCUCCCUUCUGACGAACCAUGAUGUCAUUUAUUUGGUGUCGUGGGAAAUCAGGACUGUUACUUUGAAAAAAUUAGAGUGUUUAAAGCAGGCUCACGCUUGAAUACAUUAGCAUGGAAUAAUGAAAUAGGACGUUUGAUUCUAUUUUGUUGGUUUCUAGGAUCGACGUAAUGAUUAAUAGGGAUAGUUGGGGGCAUUAGUAUUCAAUUGUCAGAGGUGAAAUUCUUGGAUUUAUUGAAGACUAACUACUGCGAAAGCAUUUGCCAAGGAUGUUUUCAUUAAUCAAGAACGAAAGUUAGGGGAUCGAAGACGAUCAGAUACCGUCGUAGUCUUAACCAUAAACUAUGCCGACUAGGGGAUCGGAUGAUGUUAAUUUUUUAANGACUCAUUCGGCGCCUUA